rnacentral:rRNA from 1 species
AUACGGAGGGUGCAAGCGUUAUCCGGAUUUAUUGGGUUUAAAGGGUGCGCAGGUGGGAAUGUAAGUCAGUGGUGAAAUUCUGCCGCUCAACGGUAGGACUGCCAUUGAUACUGCGUUUCUUGAGUAUGGUUGAGGUAGGCGGAAUGUGUCGUGUAGCGGUGAAAUGCAUAGAUAUGACACGGAACGCCGAUUGCGAAGGCAGCUUACUAAGCCAUUACUGACACUGAGGCACGAAAGCGUGGGUAGCGAACAGGAUUAGAUACCCUGGUAGUCCACGCCGUAAACGAUGUUCACUCGCUGUUUGCGAUACACAGCAAGCGGCCGAGCGAAAGCAUUAAGUGAACCACCUGGGGAGUACGAUCGCAAGGUUGAA